rnacentral:rRNA from 1 species
UACGUAGGGUGCAAGCGUUAAUCGGAAUUACUGGGCGUAAAGCGUGCGCAGGCGGUUUUGUAAGACUGUCGUGAAAUCCCCGGGCUUAACCUGGGAAUGGCGAUGGUGACUGCAAGGCUAGAGUUUGGCAGAGGGGGGUAGAAUUCCACGUGUAGCAGUGAAAUGCGUAGAUAUUGGGAGGAACACCGGUGGCGAAGGCGGCCCCCUGGACCGGAACUGACGCUGAGGCGCGAAAGCGUGGGUAGCAAACGGG